rnacentral:rRNA from 1 species
GAUGAACGCUGGCGGCGUGCCUAAUACAUGCAAGUCGAGCGAACGGACGAGAAGCUUGCUUCUCUGAUGUUAGCGGCGGACGGGUGAGUAACACGUGGAUAACCUACCUAUAAGACUGGGAUAACUUCGGGAAACCGUAGCUAAUACCGGAUAAUAUUUUGAACCGCAUGGUUCAAAAGUGAAAGACGGUCUUGCUGUCACUUAUAGAUGGAUCCCCGCUGCAUUAGCUAGUUGUUAAGGUAACGGCUUACCAGGGCAACGAUGCAUAGCCGACCUGAGAGGGUGAUCGGCCACACUGGAACUGAGACACGGUCCAGACUCCUACGGGAGGCAGCAGUAGGGAAUCUUCCGCAAUGGGCGAAAGCCUGACGGAGCAACGCCGCGUGAGUGAUGAAGGUCUUCGGAUCGUAAAACUCUGUUAUUAGGGAAGAACAUAUGUGUAAGUAACUGUGCACAUCUUGACGGUACCUAAUCAGAAAGCCACGGCUAACUACGUG